UACGAAGGGGGCUAGCGUUGCUCGGAAUCACUGGGCGUAAAGGGUGCGUAGGCGGGUCUUUAAGUCAGGGGUGAAAUCCUGGAGCUCAACUCCAGAACUGCCUUUGAUACUGAGGAUCUUGAGUUCGGGAGAGGUGAGUGGAACUGCGAGUGUAGAGGUGAAAUGCGUAGAUAUCUGGAAGAACACCGGUGGCGAAGGCGGUCGACUGGCCCUAAACUGACGCUGAGGCACGAAAGCGUGGGGAUCAAACAGG
rnacentral:rRNA from 1 species